CCUUUGAAAAAGUGAUAAGACAUUGGUGAAAAAUUCUUUAAUAUAACUAAAAGCAAAUAUUUAAUUAUGCUGAAUAAAAAUUCAUUUAUUACUGGUAAAACAAAUGUACUAAGAGUCUGUCAAUAAGUACUUGACUAUAUGAGCAAUCACUUAUACAGUGUCAAAUUGUGUCGCCCAAUUACAUAUAAACUAUCUUUCAUUAUAAAAGUCCUACAUAUACUUGUUUGCUGGUUUUCAAAAAUAAUAUCCUAUUUAUAGUUAUGAUACUCCUAUAAUAGAGGUCCUGGGUUUUGUACUAUUAUACAUCACCCUAUCCUAAAUUUUGAGUUCAGUAAAGGCAAAUGCAUAAUGCAUAGCACAAAGUGAACCUGAAUUAAACAUAAUCUAAUUUAAUCUAUUUACAGAUUUAAACCAUGAAUAAAUUUGCACCAGUAUGUUUAUCAUAUAAGCCCAAAUUCCGUGAUCAAAAUUCAUCAAAAGGCACUUAUUUACUGGAAAGGCAAGUAGUACACAAUGAAAUAUGCAAAACUUUUAGACAUUAGUCCAAGGAUCUUUUUAUAAGAUCUAUAUAUAUACUUUUAUAAGAUCUAUACUAUAUACUAUAUAAUGGCACACCCAACAUGAGGCUCAAACCCACAACCCUGAGAUCAGGAGUCGCAUGCUCCACUGCCUAAGCCAGCCAAGCUCCCCGAAACGUAUUUUUCUUUGGUUCACCUUUAUGCAUGAACUCUGAAGUACAUGUCUUAUAAAGUAUAAAUUACCCAUGACCCUUUAAACAUUCUUUUAUCACUCCUCUGGACUACCAGUCAAUUUGGAUUUGAUUAUCAAUGAAUGAGAGCUACUGCCUCUAAAAAUAGGGUUGUUGUUGUUUUUUUUCCUUAACUGCUAAUCUCUUUCUACUGAUGAUACCUGAUUCAGUGAAGAUAAGCAGUAUAUUAGGAUUUCAUUAUACACGAACAAUUCAGUUAGUAAAUACAUUUGUGCUUCAGUCUUAAAAUAUGAACUCCUUAAAUAGAAAUACUAAGUAGUAUUUCUAGCAUUUCCUUUAACUGUCAAGUAUUCAUCAAAUGUUAACUAUAUACAGCAUUUGAUCAUAUACUAACAAAAUUUGAAAAUGGGAUAUUUCUGCAGAGUAAAAUACUUAUUCAUCACACACUACGUAGUAGGACACAAAAGAGCAUUUAAAACGUGGUCCUUCAAGGAAUUUACAAUCUAGUUGGGAAGGGGGAAAAAGUAAAUGACAAGUUAACAAUACAAAAAAGAAGUAAUGGUUUGAAAUGACCUAAGAUCUAUCACAAGGCAAUGCAUAAUUAUAUUCCAAAUGAUUGACAAAGUUUCUGGGGUUUCAGGAAUGAAAAUAAAGUGGAUCAAUAAAGCAUGAAGACUUGGAAAAUGACUAAGAUGUGCAUAGAGGAAAAGGAGAGAAACUGGUUUUACCUUUGGACCGAAGAGGAAAGAAAAGGACCCAGUUGCUGCACAUCCCUUAGGGAUGCUGGAGGUGUGCUGGGGCUUUGUGCCUCACCCACUGAGAUCAGGUCAACAGAAGUUUCAGCAGGAGUCAAAUAGUAAGUAGAAAGGCUCUUUAUCCAUUGGUGAGUUUAUUCCACUUAAAAGUCCUUACUGGCAAUCUUGGUGUUUUAAGACAGAAGGUAAAUAGCAUUGGGCUUUCUAUUUUAAUUCCCACAAAAGAGGGGAACAUAAGAUUAUUAAAAAUAGAGAAAAUAAAAGUUUUUUUAAAAACAGAAAGCAAAUAGGCAGUGAAUCUCUGAUCUUCCGUUUUCCAACACUUGUUAUUUGCAGGCAACUUACUUUACAGCUCAAAUACACACUCCUUUUAAACAGUAUGAAUAUGUUAAAACACUACUUUAAUCUCAAUUUGUUGAUUCUUUGAGAAUAUCUAGUUAAAGAUAACUUCAAUCUUAAAUCUACAGCAUGUAUUUCCUAUGUCCCUUGAUGUGGGAAAAAAAAAUACCAGAAAAAAUUUCACCCACUUUUCCAGAAAUGUAUAAAUAUACUCUACCUUUUUUCUUUUUCAUUGGUUCAUGGCUAUCUGGUGAUGUGGGAAUAGGAGAGGUAUCCAUUGGUUCGGAUUCUUCAGUUGACACCUCCACUACAGUUUCUGUAAUGACAUCUGGCCUCAUAGCAGCAUGGAUAAAUUCUGGAGUUGAUACACAAGGAGGGACAAACACUUCCACUAUAAAGAAAAGUUGAAAAAUUAAAAUUUCCCACCCCCAUUAACACUUUUUAAUGCGGACAAUUCAAUAUUUGAUAGAGGUGAGACUUAUUAACAAUUCAUCAAAACAGGAUAAAUGCCUGAAGUUAAUGUGCUGAAUAUGCAAUAUGAUCUCAAGUAUGUAAGGAAAUGAAUGCAAAGAAAAUCAGGCUGAAGGUAAGGUGGUAAAAAGGUGGGGAUCAUACGAGGUCACCCCCCUUCUUCACAUUUUUACAUGCUUUCGAGCUUACUGUAGAAGACUGAAUUAUUUUGACAAUUGGGAAAACAUCUGAAAAUAAAAUAAUAGUAUAAUAUAAUAGUGAGUUCUUUAAUAAUUACUUUCCUUCCUGGUACCCAUCAUUAUGCUCUAACUAGGUAAUACAUGCACAUGGUAUAAAAUUAAAAACAUUUAAUAAAGGGACGCCUGGGUGGCUCAGUCAGUUAAGCGGUCAACUCUUGAUUUCGACUCUGGUCAUGAUCUCACGGGUCUUGAGAUCAAGCCCCACAUCGUGCUCUGUGCUUACAGUGCAGAGCCUGCUUCAGGUUGUCUGUCUCCCUCUCUCUGCCCCUCCCCCACUUGUGCUCUCUUCUCUCUCAAAAAUAAAA